GACGAACGCUAGCGGCGUGCCUAAUACAUGCAAGUAGAACGCUGAAGGAGGAGCUUGCUCUUCUGGAUGAGUUGCGAACGGGUGAGUAACGCGUAGGUAACCUGCCUGGUAGCGGGGGAUAACUAUUGGAAACGAUAGCUAAUACCGCAUAACAGUAGAUGUUGCAUGACAUUUGCUUAAAAGGUGCAAUCGCACCACUACCAGAUGGACCUGCGUUGGAUUAGCUAGUUGGUGGGGUAACGGCUCACCAAGGCGACGAUACAUAGCCGACCUGGGAGGGUGAUCGGCCAAACUGGGACUGAGACACGGCCCAGAAUCCUAAGGGAGGCAGCAGUAGGGAAUCUUCGGCAAUGGACGGAAGUCUGACCGAGCAACGCCGCGUGAGUGAAGAAGGGUUUCGGAUCGUAAAGCUCUGUUGUAAGGGAAGAACGAGUGUGAGAGUGGAAAGUUCACACUGUGACGGUAUCUUACCAGAAAGGGACGGCUAACUACGUG
rnacentral:rRNA from 1 species